GUGCCAGCCGCCGCGGUAAGACGUAGGAUGCGAGCGUUGUUCGGAUUUAUUGGGCGUAAAGCGUACGUAGGCGGUUGCCUAAGUCUGGUGUUAAAGCUAGGAGCUCAACUCCUGUGAUGCACUGGAAACUGGGUAACUUGAGAGCGGUAGGGGAAGGUGGAAUUCCGAGUGUAGCGGUGAAAUGCGUAGAUAUUCGGAAGAACACCGGUGGCGAAGGCGACCUUCUGGGCCGUUUCUGACGCUGAGGUACGAAAGCGUGGGGAGCAAACAGGAUUAGAUACCCUGGUAGUCC
rnacentral:rRNA from 1 species